rnacentral:rRNA from 1 species
UACGUAGGGUGCAAGCGUUGUCCGGAAUUAUUGGGCGUAAAGAGCGUGUAGGCGGUCCGGUAAGUCCGCUGUGAAAGUCGGGGGCUCAACCCUCGGAUGCCGGUGGAUACUGUCGGGCUUGAGUACGGAAGAGGCGAGUGGAAUUCCUGGUGUAGCGGUGAAAUGCGCAGAUAUCAGGAGGAACACCAAUUGCGAAGGCAGCUCGCUGGGACGUUACUGACGCUGAGACGCGAAAGCGUGGGGAGCAAACAGG